CCUACGGGUGGCUGCAGUGGGGAAUAUUGGACAAUGGGGGGAACCCUGAUCCAGCCAUGCCGCGUGUGUGAAGAAGGCCCUCGGGUUGUAAAGCACUUUCAGUGAGGAAGAACGCCUGGUGGUUAAUACCCAUCAGGAAAGACAUCACUCACAGAAGAAGCACCGGCUAACUCCGUGCCAGCAGCCGCAGGUAAUACGGAGGGUGCGAGCGUUAAUCGGAAUUACUGGGCGUAAAGCGCGCGUAGGUGGCUUGAUAAGCCGGUUGUGAAAGCCCCGGGCUCAACCUGGGAACGGCAUCCGGAACUGUCAAGCUAGUGUGCAGGAGAGGAAGGUAGAAUUCCCGGUGUAGCGGUGAAAUGCGUAGAGAUCGGGAGGAAUACCAGUGGCGAAGGCGGCCUUCUGGACUGACACUGACACUGAGGUGCGAAAGCGUGGGUAGCAAACAGGAUUAGAUACCCGAGUAGUC
rnacentral:rRNA from 1 species